rnacentral:rRNA from 1 species
UGUUGACCUCGGAUCAGGUAGGAAUACCCGCUGAACUUAAGCAUAUCAAUAAGCGGAGGAAAAGAAACCAACAGGGAUUGCCCUAGUAACGGCGAGUGAAGCGGCAACAGCUCAAAUUUGAAAUCUGGCCCUCGUGGUCCGAGUUGUAAUUUGUAGAGGAUGCUUUUGGUGCGGUGCCUUCCGAGUUCCCUGGAACGGGACGCCAUAGAGGGUGAGAGCCCCGUCUGGUUGGACACCAAUCCUCUGUAAAGCUCCUUCGACGAGUCGAGUAGUUUGGGAAUGCUGCUCUAAAUGGGAGGUAUAUGUCUUCUAAAGCUAAAUACUGGCCAGAGACCGAUAGCGCACAAGUAGAGUGAUCGAAAGAUGAAAAGCACUUUGAAAAGAGGGUUAAAUAGUACGUGAAAUUGUUGAAAGGGAAGCGUUUGUGACCAGACUUGGGCUUGGUUAAUCAUCCGGCGUUCUCGCCGGUGCACUUUGCCAGCCCAGGCCAGCAUCAGUUUGCUGCGGGGGAUAAAGGUUUCGGGAACGUAGCUCCUCGGAGUGUUAUAGCCCGUUGCGUAAUACCCUGUGGUGGACUGAGGUUCGCGCAUCUGCAAGGAUGCUGGCGUAAUGGUCAUCAACGACCCGUCUUGAAACACGGACCAAGGAGUCGUCUUCGUAUGCGAGUGUUCGGGUGUCAAACCCCUACGCGUAAUGAAAGUGAACGGAGGUGGGAGCCUCGGCGCACCAUCGACCGAUCCUGAUGUUUUCGGAUGGAUUUGAGUAAGAGCAUACGGGGCCGGACCCGAAAGAAGGUGAACUAUGCCUGUAUAGGGUGAAGCCAGAGGAAACUCUGGUGGAGGCUCGCAGCGGUUCUGACGUGCAAAUCGAUCGUCAAAUAUGGGCAUGGGGGCGAAAGACUAAUCGAAC